UACAGAGGAUGCAAGCGUUAUCCGGAAUGAUUGGGCGUAAAGCGUCUGUAGGUGGCUUUUUAAGUCCGCCGUCAAAUCCCAGGGCUCAACUCUGGACAGGCGGUGGAAACUACCAAGCUGGAGUACGGUAGGGGGCAGAGGGAAUUUCCGGUGGAGCGGUGAAAUGCGUAGAUAUUGGGAGGAACACCAGUGGCGAAGGCGGCUCACUGGACCGGUUCUGACGCUGAGGCGCGAAAGCGUGGGGAGCAAACGGG
rnacentral:rRNA from 1 species